UACAGACACCCAUUCAGCCAUAGAGUGAUGCAUAAGAGGCCUGCUGGCAGUAUGGGUUGCAGGCCUGUAGUAUGCAGCAAUUAAACAAGUCUACUCCUGGACACGGACUUCGACUGCAGCUGUUAGUUGCUAGGCAUCACAAAAGCCAUGAACAGAAAUUCUGCUACAGUACAGCUCAUCAAAGCAUGAACUACAGAUAACAGAAAGGAUGUUUCAGGUCAAAGGAAAGAAGCCUUUUUGUGUGCAGGCAGAACAUAUCUCAGAUGACCAAAAUUCUUCAAACAUAAAGGAAUGAUAGAUCAAUAGUGACUUUUUGGGAUUUGAAAGAGCCCUCUGUUGUAAUGGAAGGCAGUUGCUUUUGAAAUCUGCCCACAUCCAUGGAGAGGGGCAGUCUUGGUAAAAGCUGCAAAAUGUAGAUAGUCUAGUCCACAGUCAGUUAGCCAGUUUUGUCUUGUCUGCAGCUACUCUUGCAGUCUCAUCCAUCGAGUCAAGUGAGGAUUGUGAAGAACCAGUGCCCCAGACCAUUACAGCAGAUUUUC